UACGUAGGGGGCAAGCGUUGUCCGGAUUUAUUGGGCGUAAAGAGCGUGUAGGCGGCCAUGUAGGUCCGUUGUGAAAACUCGAGGCUCAACCUCGAGACGCCGGUGGAAACCGUAAGGCUAGAGUCCGGAAGAGGAGAGUGGAAUUCCUGGUGUAGCGGUGAAAUGCGCAGAGAUCGGGAGGAACACCCGUAGCGAAGGCGGCGCUCUGGGCCGGUACUGACGCUGAGGAGCGAAAGCGUGGGGAGCAAACAGG
rnacentral:rRNA from 1 species